AUUGAACGCUGGCGGCAGGCCUAACACAUGCAAGUCGAGCGGAGCGGCGGACGGGUGAGUAAUGCCUAGGAAUCUGACUGGUAGUGGGGGAUAACGUACGGAAACGGGUGCUAAUACCGAAUACUAUCAGAUAGGCCUAGGUGGGAUUAGCUAGUUGGUGGGGGAAAGGCCUACCAAGGCGACGAUCCGUGACUGGUCUGAGAGGAUGAUCAGUCACACUGGAACUGAUACACGGUCCAGACUCCUACGGGAGGCAUCAGUUGGGAAUAUUGGACAAUGGGCGAAAGCCUGAUCCAGCCAUGCCGCGUGUGUGAAGAAGGUCUUCGGAUUGUAAAGCACUUUAAGUUGUGAGGCGUUACCAACAGAAUAAGCACCGGCUAACUUCGUGCCAGCAGCCGCGGUAAUUC
rnacentral:rRNA from 1 species